CCGACCUUAGCUCAGUUGGAAGAGCGCGAGACUGUAAUGGGAAAAACCGAUCAUCUUGAGGUCGCCUGUUCGAACCAGGCAGGUCGGA